rnacentral:rRNA from 1 species
UACGGGGGGGGGCAAGCGUUGUUCGGAAUUACUGGGCGUAAAGGGCUCGUAGGCGGCCAACUAAGUCAGACGUGAAAUCCCUCGGCUUAACCGGGGAACUGCGUCUGAGACUGGAUGGCUCGAGUGUGGGAGAGGGAUGCGGAAUUCCAGGUGUAGCGGUGAAAUGCGUAGAGAUCGGCAGGAACACCCAGGGGGAAACCAGUCGACUGGGCAUCUACUGACGCUGAGGUGCGAGAGCGUGGGGAGCGAACCGG